rnacentral:rRNA from 1 species
AUUGAACGCUGGCGGCAUGCCUUACACAUGCAAGUCGUACGGCAGCACGGGAGCAAUCCUAGUGGCGAGUGGCGAACGGGUGAGUAAUAUAUCGGAACGUGCCCAGUCGUGGGGGAUAACGCAGCGAAAGCUGUGCGAAUACCGCAUACGAUCUAAGGAUGAAAGCGGGGGAUCGCACGACCUCGCGCGAUCGGAGCGGCCGAUAUCAGAUUGGAUAGUCGGUGGGGUAAAGGCCCACCAAGGCGAGGAUGUGUAGCUGGUCUGAGAGGACGACCAGCAACACUGGAACUUGGACACGGUCCAGACUCCUACGGGAGGCAGCAGUGGGGAAUUUUGGACAAUGGGCGCAAGCCUGAUCCAGCAAUGCCGCGUGCAGGAUGAAGGCCUUCGGGUUGUAAACUGCUUUUGUACGGAACGAAACGGCCCUUUCUAAUACAGGGGGCUAAUGACGGUACCGUAAGAAUAAGCACCGGCUAACUACGUGCCAGCAGCCGCAGUAA